rnacentral:rRNA from 1 species
UGAGGGAAUAUUUGGGGUCAAUGGGCGCAAGCCUGAACCAGCCAAGUAGCGUGAAGGAUGACUGCCCUAUGGGUUGUAAACUUCUUUUAUGCGGGAAUAACCUCGACCAUGUAUGGUCGUUUGCAUGUACCGCAAGAAAAAGCAUCGGCUAAUUCCGUGCCAGCAGCCGCGGUAAUACGGAAGAUGCGAGCGUUAUCCGGAUUUAUUGGGUUUAAAGGGAGCGUAGGCGGACUAUCAAGUCAGUUGUGAAAGUCAUCGGCUCAACCGCUGAAUUGCAGUUGAAACUGGUAGUCUUGAGUGCACAUGAGGAUGGUGGAAUUCGUAGUGUAGCGGUGAAAUGCUUAGGU